rnacentral:tRNA from 5 species
CGGGGAGUAGCUCAGCUUGGUAGAGCGCUGGCUUUGGGAGCCAGAUGUCGCAGGUUCGAAUCCUGUCUCCCCGACCA